rnacentral:tRNA from 1 species
GAGGGUAUAGUUCAGUGGUAGAGCAUAUGCCUAGCAUGCACGAGGUCCUGGGUUCAAUCCCCAACAUCUCCA